rnacentral:rRNA from 1 species
CUGCGGAAGGAUCAUUACAGAAAGUAAACGCGGAUCAAACCGCGAACUUCUAAACCUUUGACGAUUGACUCAUGUUGCCUCGGCGGGUUCUCCCGCCAGAGGAUACAUCAAAACUCCUGUUUUAACGGUGUUGUCUGAGCUACAAGCAACGAAUCAAAACUUUCAACAACGGAUCUCUUGGUUCUGGCAUCGAUGAAGAACGCAGCGAAAUGCGAUAAGUAGUGUGAAUUGCAGAAUUCAGUGAAUCAUCGAAUCUUUGAACGCACAUUGCGCCCCUUGGUAUCCCGAGGGGCAUGCCUGUUCGAGCGUCAUUUCACCACUCAAGCCUGGCUUGGUGUUGGGCGACGUCCCCUUUGGGGACGCGCCUCGAAACGCUCGGCGGCGUGGCACCGGCUUUAAGCGUAGCAGAAUCUUUCGCUUUNAAAGUCGGGGCCCCGUCUGCCGGAAGACCUACUCGCAAGGUUGACCUCGGAUCAGGCAGGGGAUACCCGCUGAACUUAAGCAUAUCA